AUUGAACGCUGGCGGCAGGCUUAACACAUGCAAGUCGAGCGGAGAUGAGGUGCUUGCACCUUAUCUUAGCGGCGGACGGGUGAGUAAUGCUUAGGAAUCUGCCUAUUAGUGGGGGACAACAUUCCGAAAGGAAUGCUAAUACCGCAUACGUCCUACGAGAGAAAGCAGGGGAUCUUCGGACCUUGCGCCAAUAGAUGAGCCUAAGUCGGAUUAGCUAGUUGGUGGGGUAAAGGCCUACCAAGGCGACGAUCUGUAGCGGGUCUGAGAGGAUGAUCCGCCACACUGGGACUGAGACACGGCCCAGACUCCUACGGGAGGCAGCAGUGGGGAAUAUUGGACAAUGGGGGAAAACCCUGAUCCAGCCAUGCCGCGUGUGUGAAGAAGGCCUUAUGGUUGUAAAGCACUUUAAGCGAGGAGGAGGCUACUGAGACUAAUACUCUUGGAUAGUGGACGUUACUCGCAGAAUAAGCACCGGCUAACUCUGUGCCAGCAGCCGCCGUAA
rnacentral:rRNA from 1 species